rnacentral:rRNA from 1 species
GCGUUGAAAAGCUCGGGGAUGACUUGUGGGUAGCGGUGAAAUUCCAAUCGAGCCCGGAGAUAGCUGGUUCUCCCCGAAAUAGCUUUAGGGCUAGCCUCAAGGUGAGAGAUACGGAGGUAGAGCACUGAAUGUCCUAGGGGGUAUUGCACCUACCGAAGACUAUCAAACUCCGAAUGCCGUCAUCUUAUACUUGGGAGUCAGACUGUGGGUGAUAAGAUUCAUAGUCGAAAGGGCAACAGCCCAGAUCGUCAGCUAAGGUCCCUAAAUGUAAGUUAAGUGGUAAAGGAUGUGGGAUUGCACAGACAACCAGGAUGUUGGCUUAGAAGCAGCCACUCAUUCAAAGAGUGCGUAAUAGCUCACUGGUCGAGUGAUCCUGCGCCGAAGAUUUCCGGGGCUAAAACUUACUACCGAAGCUACGGCAUCAGUAAUGAGGGGUAGGGGAGCUUCCCAUACGGGUUGAAGCAUGACCGUAAGGACAUGUGGACAGUAUGGGAGUGAGAAUGUUGGCAUGAGUAGCGAGAUGUGGGUGAGAAUCCCACAGGCCGUAAACCCAAGGUUUCCAGGGGAAGGUUCGUCCGCCCUGGGUUAGUCGGGACCUAAGCUGAGGCCGAAAGGCGUAGGUGAUGGACAACAGGUUGAUAUUCCUGUACUACCGAUAACCGUUUGAGAGAAGGGAUGACACAGUAGGAUAAGCUAAGCACACUGUUGGUUAUGUGUGCCCAAGCAUUGAGGCAGUCAAAGUAGG